rnacentral:rRNA from 1 species
UACGGGGGGGGCAAGCGUUGUUCGGAAUUACUGGGCGUAAAGGGCGUGUAGGUGGCCAACUAAGUCCGACGUGAAAUCCCCGGGCUCAACCCGGGAACUGCGUCCGAUACUGGGAGGCUUGAAUCCGGGAGAGGGAUGUGGAAUUCCAGGUGUAGCGGUGAAAUGCGUAGAUAUCUGGAGGAACACCGGUGGCGAAGGCGGCAUCCUGGACCGGUAUUGACGCUGAGGCGCGAAAGCAUGGGAGCGAACAGG